CCUACGGGGAGCUGCAGUGGGGAAUAUUGGACAAUGGGCGAAAGCCUGAUCCAGCCAUGCCGCGUGUGUGAAGAAGGCCUUCGGGUUGUAAAGCACUUUCAGUGGGGAAGAAAGCCUUGGGGCUAAUACCCUCGAGGAAGGACAUCACCCACAGAAGAAGCACCGGCUAACUCCGUGCCAGCAGCCGCGGUAAUACGGAGGGUGCGAGCGUUAAUCGGAAUUACUGGGCGUAAAGCGCGCGUAGGCGGUCUGAUAAGCCGGUUGUGAAAGCCCCGGGCUCAACCUGGGAACGGCAUCCGGAACUGUCAGGCUAGGGUGCAGGAGAGGAAGGUAGAAUUCCCGGUGUAGCGGUGAAAUGCGUAGAGAACGGGAGGAAUACCAGUGGCGAAGGCGGCCUUCUGGACUGACACUGACGCUGAGGUGCGAAAGCGUGGGUAGCAAACAGGAUUAGAUACCCCUGUAGUC
rnacentral:rRNA from 1 species